UAAAGUUCUUCAGAUUUUUUCAAAUGG
rnacentral:piRNA from 1 species